rnacentral:lncRNA from 1 species
GCGGCAGGCGUUGAGGACCUUAAGAUCAUACAGGUGACAGUCCCAGAUAAUGAGGAGGAGAGGCUCUCGGGCCUCGAGAAAAUUAAGCAACUGCGAGAACAAGUGAACGACCUCUUCAGCCGGAAGUUUGGGGAGGCGAUCGGAGUGGACUUCCCCGUGAAGGUCCCCUACAGGAAAAUCACCUUCAACCCCGGCUGUGUGGUGAUCGAUGGCAUGCCCCCGGGGGUGGUGUUCAAAGCCCCCGGAUACCUGGAGAUCAGCUCCAUGAGGAGGAUCCUGGAUGCUGCAGAUUUCAUCAAGUUCACCGUCAUUAGACCACUUCCUGGACUUGAACUCAGUAAUGGUGAGUACUCAGAGAAGCAAGAACGUCGCAGGACACAGUGCUUUGUGUAGUGAGUGUCCUGGAGGGCACUUAGCACAGGGUCCUCCCACCUGCAGCCUGGAGCCUUCUAGUAAAGCACAUGGCCUUUC